GAAACGCGUUCAGCUGGAGUCUACCCUCAGCCCCACGGGGACGGAGGUCUGGAGCGUCAAUGACUCCAAGAGCUGCCCCACCUUGAGGCAAGGGGUGUGGGCUUUCAAAUUCCUGUUUCAGUCCGCCAUUGGUUGAGGCCACCUCAAGGAGGAAAGGGGUUAUUCCCCAGAUAUCUCCAGGCGACGUGACUCCCAAGCACCGAGGACAAUUCUUAGGGGAUGUGUAUAGUCAAGGCAGCCAGAGAUAGGUCAUAGCACCUGCUACAGGCAGAUCUGGCCGGGGCACCCUUGGCACCUGCCCCAGGUGGGCAUGACUACCCACUGAGACCUCAUUCUAUCAUUUUUCCUGCCGGCUGAGACCUACACCCCAGAUCAGGGAAACAAGAAAACGCACCGCGUUCCAGUAAGCUCUUGAACAUCUCAGAAGAUAACUACCUCGCCAGGGUUCAGGCGGAAAGACGACUUGGUGCCUGGCAGCCCAGGUCUACGAGAAGAAGGGUCAAGUUGAGACCAGCAGAGGGACCAUUUUUGCCUUUAUCCUGUGACGUGACACUAUUCCACAACGUCUAUCUCUGGAUAAGUAUCCACUAGAACAACACUGCUCAAGGAGUCCCAUGGAAGGAUGUUUAUGGUGGAAUGAACCAAACUGCCCAUCGCCAGGGAAAGGGGUAAGUAAUAGUGAGGUAAGUCAGAUGUCCAGUUCACCUCCGAGAAGCAAAGAAGCAUCUGAGCCAUGUUUACGUAGAGAACAACAGCAGGAGCGACCAGCCUUGGCUCCUAGGCCGUACACAGCAUAGGAGGCUGACAGGGUAGAGGUCAGCUAGACACAUGUCCCUGUACCCGCAGCAGCCUUGGGAUCCCUUUCUUUUGGUGUUCGCUGACCACAUUCCCUAGGGAGCCCUUCUUGGAGUUGAUUCUCAGGAAGGGCCGCCGGUAGCUUUCCUGCCGGAUGCUGCUUGAGCUCAAGUUCACAGAGACAGAGAUGUGGGGUGAGCAGGGGGCAGAAUUACAGUACCCCCAUCACUCAACCCUUUGAUGCCUUCUGGGCAGGUUCCUACUAUCUCUGGUGCUUUAGAGCAGACGUGAACAGGGGAAGAAAGUUGUCCGGGAACCCCUGGUCUCCUUGUCCAUGGUGCUGGAUGGGAAAUGGUUUUCCUGCCUGGGAUGGAGAACAUUUCAUUAAAGGAACCCAGAGAUGCGAAAGGAGGGAAGGGAACCCUGGCAGGACUGAGAAUGUUUCCUGGCAGCUCCAAGGUGCCACCCAGUGUUUGCUUCCUGUUUGCCGAUGAGCCGUGAGCCAAAGCAAGCAACGUGGCCAAGCCCAGAGUCAAUAUGGGAGAGCCUGGACACUGGGUAAUAUGACUCACUGCAGCCAUUGAUGGAACAAGUUAGCACACAUGCCUUUCUUAUCCCCCUGGUGAUGUUGAUGUUGACGACUGGCUUGGAAGAGAAAUGCCUUUACCGUGACACGUGAGCACUUCGUUGCACUCCGGGAUGAAACUCUGUCCCUAAGUUACCAUGUUACCUAUGACUCAGUUAAACUCCUUUGGCCACCUCAGUACCCAAAUGGCUGUUACUUCCUGUGUGCUUCCGAGUUUUCUCUAUCCAAGCUCAUCAGCAGUUGUUACCAUGUCUGCAUCUCGACGUUUGUGGCUCUUUGUCUCUCACCUCCUGGGGCCAUUGGAUUCUUCCUCUUCUUCUCCCCAUUCCUUUGGCUUGGCUAAAACACCCGCAGGAUGGAAGGGGCAGAGGGAAAGGAACUGGGAAAGAGGAUACUUCAGAGUCAAUGGAGAAUUCAAGGAUCAGACCCUUCUCGAUGGGCCGUUAGAUAUUAGGAAAAGUAGUUCUACUGAAUUGGGUUU